rnacentral:rRNA from 1 species
GAUGAACGCUGGCGGCAGGCUUAACACAUGCAAGUCGAGCGAGCGGCGGACGGGUGAGUAAUGUCUGGGAAACUGCCUGAUGGAGGGGGAUAACUACUGGAAACGGUAGCUAAUACCGCAUACCAUCAGAUGUGCCCAGAUGGGAUUAGCUGGUAGGUGGGGUAAUGGCUCACCUAGGCGACGAUCCCUAGCUGGUCUGAGAGGAUGACCAGCAAAACUGGAAAGGAGACAAGGUCCAGACGCCGACGCGAGGCAGCAGUGGGGAAUCUGGUAAAAUUGGCGAAAGCCUGACGCAGCCAUGCCCCGUGUGUGAAGAAGGCCUUCGGGUUGUAAAGCACUUUGAGCGAGGAGGCGUUACUCGCAGAAGAAGCACCGGCUAACUCCGUGCCAGCAGCCGCGGUAAUUC